ACUGUUGUAAGGGAGAACGUUAUUAGUAGGAAAUGGCUAAUAAGUGACGGUACCUUACCAGAAAGGGACGGCUAACUACGUGCCAGCAGCCGCGGUAAUACGUAGGUCCCGAGCGUUAUCCGGAAUUAUUGGGCGUAAAGGGCACGUAGGCGGACAAAUAAGUUUGAUGUCAAAUAUGAUGGCUCAACCAUCAAGAGGCGUUGAAAACUGUUUAUCUAGAAUCUCGGAGAGGUAAGUGGAAUUCCAUGUGUAGCGGUGGAAUGCGUAGAUAUAUGGAGGAACACCAAUGGCGAAGGCAGCUUACUGGACGAAGAUUGACGCUGAGGUGCGAAAGCGUGGGUAGCAAACAGGAUUAGAUACCCUGGUAG
rnacentral:rRNA from 1 species